rnacentral:rRNA from 1 species
AGCAGCCGCGGUAAUUCCAGCUCCAAUAGCGUAUAUUAAAGUUGUUGCAGUUAAAAAGCUCGUAGUUGAAUUUCGGGGUUCUACCGUUGGUCGGGCAAUUGUCUGUACUGGCGUGUGGAAUUUCUACCUUCUGGGGAACCAUCAUGUUAUUAAUUUAGCGUGGUGGGAAACCAGGACCUUUACCUUGAAAAAUUAGAGUGUCCAAAGCAGGCUCAUGUCUGAAUACAUUAGCAUGGAAUAAUAAAAUAGGACGGUGGUCCUGUUUGUUGGUUUCUGAAUCGCCGUAAUGAUUAAUAGGGAUAGUUGGGGGCAUUAGUAUUCAAUUUGUCUAGAGGUGAAAUUCUUGGAUUUAUUGAAGACCAACUUCUGCGAAAGCAUUUGCCAAGGAUGUUUUCAUUAAUCAAGAACGAAAGUUAGGGGAUCGAAAGACGAUCAGAUACCGUCGUAGUCUUAACCAUAAACCUAUGCCGACUAGGGAUCGGACGAUGUUAAUUUUUCUUGACUUCG